rnacentral:rRNA from 1 species
GAGAGUUUGUAACACCCAAAGUCGGUGAGGUAACCAUUUGGAGCCAGCCGCCUAAGGUGGGAUAGAUGAUUGGGGUGAAGUCGUAACAAGGUAGCCGUAUCGGAAGGUGCGGCUGGAUCACCUCCUUUCUAAGGA